GGGCUGCGUCCAGCUGUCCUGCUUUUCUCAAGGGGAGUGGCACAUCCAUAUGACAGCAUUUUCAAACUAAAGAUGAAGACAAAAAUCCCAUCAGUUAAAGAGAAGUGAAGCUUACAUGCUGCAAAACACUGAAAAUGUCUCCUUUGCAGUGAAAGGGAAUUUAAAUGUUUUCUGUGUUGCUCAGGGUGAUCCUGUUUCAAAGUGAUCUUACUACAGUCCUGUUAGUUAUCUUCAGAAAUGUUUCAUCAGUUCUGCUCAAACCUGGUAAGGAAGGAUUAAAAGGAUGUUUUGAUGUACAGUCAGCUUUCUACUGUGGAGUGCCUGAAAGUACAGUUUACCUUUCUGAAAAGCAUGCCUCUCUUGAAGCAUUUAAUACAGAAAAAAAAUGUUGAGUUUUGGGAAGUGUAAACAGCAAAUUCAGCCCUGAGCUUUACUGGUGCAAAUCUCAAUGAAGUCUGUGGAUGCAAGUGCAGUAGAUACCAGCAGAAAGAGCAAAGGAAAAAAAUCCUAAAGAACCAUCUUCUUGGAACUGAAAGAGUCUGUUUUGGAUAAUUCUUUCAUCACAUACUGGAAGGAUAUACAGCUUUUCCAGAACAGUACUUUUCCUGUAUGAGAAUAUUAUUGAGCACCCAAGUGUGCUCUGUAUCCAUCUGCUCUUCUUUUCUCUUUCCCUUUCAAAAGACUUCAACAUUUGAUAUUGAAAGAUAACAUAAAUGUAAGGACAAAGUGCUACAAAAAAUUUUUGUUUAUUUUGUUGCUGUCUUUGGAUAUCUGCCCACACAUGCAUGAUAAAAGCACAUACAGCUGUCAGUACUCACAAAUCAAUUUACAGGAUUGGUCAUCUAGGCAGCACAAUACAUUUUUUGCAUACUAUUUGAUCUGUAUAUGGAGACCGUCUCAAAUAAAAUCCUUUCCUCAAAAAAAAUUGUUCCAAUAAAGUGACCUCUGAGGCCCAAAAGUGAA